GGAAUUUUUUCCUAUCUCACAUGAUCUGCUUUUAUUAGUUAAAAAAACCCACACUUAAUUCCUUAUGUUUGCCUCCUCAUAAUGGAAGUUGCAUGGCAGCACAAAUAAGAAUGAUGGCCAGGUUUCUAGAUGAGCUGUGUUCGCAAUCCUUUCAAGUUAGACAGUUUGCAAAGUCUAGACUUCCUGCACCUUUGAAAUCGGGGACUAAAGGCCAAGAAGCAGAAUGGCCAGUAAAGCUCAGAAAAGAGCAGCAGAACAGGGCAGCAGAGUUCAGGGGCAGUCAGAGAGGUCUCAAGAGAAGCAUCCCUUGGGACAUGCCGUGUGAAGACACUGAAGACAUUUCCCACAUGCGACUGAAAUCCCACCCUGUUCCACUAGAGGGUUGUUGCUGAAGGACAAGCCUGAGCAGCAGCACUAAGUGACAGGCCGUGGGCUCUACCUGUGUGUAGUUCUAACUGUUGUUUCCAAAUGCAGGGUUACAGCCUCUACUUCCCACCACUGGUUCUUCUCGCAAAAGCAAUUUAUGAAGCAAAAGCAACUGAAAUGUUAUCCUUUCCCCAGCUUCUGAGCCAUCAAGGCUCCCACUACACUCCUUUCUCAGUCUGACUUUGCUACCUAUUGAACAAGAAUGCUUGACAGAUUAUAAAACAUAAAGAUAAAAAAGACAUUAAAUGUCAUCUCUCUUCCACCAGACAGAAUAUCUACUUUAUUAUUUUUUUUAAUAGUAAAGAAAAGUCAUACCAUAGAAAAAGCAUUAUUGCAGAAUAUUUUGGCUGACAUAACAGACUGUUCCUUGUAAUGGAGAGAAAGAUGGGUCUUGGUCUGAUGGCAGACAUCACCUGUACAUCUUGUCUGAACAGGAGUGCUCAGAAAAAGAGAUCAGAUAAUAUUAAUUCUGCCCCUAAAAAAGGAUAUGGCUGAAACUGAAUGACAAACACCUUGCUUCUUUAAACAAAUUAUUAAAAUAUUUAGAAAUAUAAUAAUGACAAAACAAACACAAUUAUCUACCAUCCCUCCCAACAAGCAGUCAUGCUUUUAUCUGUGAGCAUUCAUCUUUGUGUCGAGUUGUUUCUUUUUUUAACUUGGGGUUGGAUCCUGCCCAGGAUUUGACCU
rnacentral:lncRNA from 1 species